rnacentral:lncRNA from 1 species
GUGAUUGAGGAAGAAGCUCAGUCUUCUCAGGACUCUUCCUUUCCCCAAGAAAGGAAGACCCAGGAGGUGGGAACAGCUACUCUUCGACUGACAGCCAGGUCCCAUGUAAGUUGAACUUCCUUUCUCUCCCCCCCCAACACCCCCAAAAGACUCUUAGUUCUCAGAAUGUGGACACUUUCCCCCUCUAGCUCUAGCAUUUUUCAGUCUUAACAGAAAUUCAGAUCUGAGCCCUUAUUCCAGGAGAUUAACUAAGUUAUAGGAUCUUGGAAUUAGAAAUUCAGGUGUCCCAAUUCCAAGAUGCUGUCAUCCUAUAACCUACUUAGUUCGAAACUAUAACCACUGUUUCUACCUCCUCUUUGCUGCUUUCUUGUGGUAAAGCAGAAUGGACCUCAUAGAGAAUGCUCUCCAUUUGCUUAGUGCCCUCUCUCAGUUCUCUUGACCUUUCCACCCAACAAUUACCCUUUCACUUAACCAGGAUUCAGUGAGCAUCUAGCAUCUUUAUACUCUGUGUUUAAUACCCUCUUGUAUGUUGUAAUGUAUCUACAAAAACAUAAGAACGUAUAUUCAUCUAAAUCAAAACAUUUUCCAG